ensembl:lncRNA
AUGGCCAUGGAUUACUUCACUAAGUGGCCUGAGCCAUAUGCAGUCCUUGACAAGACUGCUGCCACCACCAUUGAGCGCCUGAUCAGUGAAGUGUUCUACCAUUUUGGUGAAACCAACCAUCUAGCUUCCUAAAAUGACGUUUAAAAUCAAUAAAAAUGAUUGUUAUUGAUUCUUUUUUAUUUCUCUCAGUGUACCUUCUAUAAAAAAGGUAACACCUAUUGUGUUUGGGUCAAUAUGACCCGAAGUAACCUGAUGUAGAACAAGCUAUACGAGCUGCUUUGUCUCACUUAGUGUGCUAUUCCUCAUACUGCUAGAAUGUCCAAUUCAAGAAAUCAAAUUUAGCAUGCUAGCUUACUAGCAAUGCAUUGAAUCCAUGUCUUUCAAUGGGGCAUCAAAACCACAGAUUUUCCCUGUCACAACCCUUUUUUGACUCGUCCUUUGUUUUUUUAGAUAACAAACAGCUGACUGCUCCGGCGGUGAAAUUACAUUUGCAUUUUCUCAUACGAAUGUAUUUCUAGUUGUGUAGUAUUCGAAUUUAGUAUGUAGUUCAUGUUUCCCUUUUGUGUCUCAUGUUAGCAUGCAUUACUGUCAUCAUUCUUGUCGGGGUGCUAUGUUGUAAAAUGCCUGUGUGUUGUUUAACAAUACCGUCUGUGUCAUGUGGUGAAUAGACCUCCCUCCAGUGAUUCCACUGUCAGCAACAAUAUGUCCUGCCUGGACAGUGUGUACUACAUAGGCCUAAUAAAGGACUUGAGGUCAAAGACAUCCUGACUCUUGUUGCUGCUCGACAUACAGGUAGGCCUAUAUCAUAUAUUCCACUUUCGCCAUUAACUUUUGAAAGUGUAAGGUUACAAGCAUUAGCAAGAUGGCACGAUGUACCUGUUUAGUUUCAUGAACUCCAUGCUAAGUAGGUAAAUGAAGCUAGUUAUAAUGACAACAAGCAACAGUCAGUGACGGUAAAACACAAAAUAACCUAAAAGCACAACAUGUUGAAAAUACGUGACACUUUAUUUUUGUUACAUUAUUGGACAUUUACGUUUUAUAACGGUAUAAAUUGUAUAAUUUCUGUUCAGAAUUGCAGAAUCAUGCUAGCCCUCAUGAAGCUUUUAUGACUAAGUACAACUCACAUAGACUUGAUGAUUGACAUAAAACAUCAGCUAUACGUUUUAUUUUGUUUCUUUAAGUCCAUGCGUCUUAAUAAAUCCAUCUACUGUGGUACAAAUGUACUCUUAAUAUAUUUUUUUUUACACCAUCUGCUGUCUUGGGUGCUUUAAGGCUUGGUUGUCCAGUGAAAUCAAAUUGUGGGCAUACUGCUCAAGACAGAGGCCAAGUCACAAAUGUACGUAGGCUACAAGAAAUUGCAUUUUAAACAUGUUCUUAACCUGAAGAGACAAAAAUCUUAAAGGAAUGAUGUACUUGUGCUAAAAGGAAACUAGCAAGCUGAGAUAAUUAAAAGUCUACAAUAAAACUAUGCUUUUUGCUGAAAGCCCAUAAAGGAACAGCACAAGUCUUGGCAUUUCAGUUAGACAUAAAGGUGUACUCUUGUCAGUUUGUGGAAGUGUGAUAACAACAGACCCUUACUAGAGACAGACAAGAGACAUUGUCUGGGAUUGUGUGUGUGUGCGUGCGUGUGUGUGUGCGUGAAUGUAUGCAAAUACAUGUCUGCCUGUUUACAGGAGAAACAGAUAAUGGCCUGUAUUUGAACAAAGGCUAUCCUUAACAUGUCAUACCUUUAAACAAGAUAUUUAAAUGCAUCAGUAUGGAAAUGAUCUGACUGAAUGUUCAUGACAGUAAUCUGCUCUACAUUGUUGGUGUUAAGCCAUACAGUCUGACAUGCAAAUCUGGCCAUCCUUUGAUUAUUCUGCAGACUGUGUUGCUGAUUGAUACAAAAUGCAGCCAAUAUUUCAAAUGUGUCCAAAAUUCCAAGCUUUGAUUUAUUUUAUUUUUUUUCAAUUAAUCCUUGAGUUGAUCUUGAUUCUGAAAAAUCUUGUCAGGCUUUUUUGUUGUUGAACUUAUACAAUACCACACUGUGGUAACCUGGUAUAAGUCAAUACUUAAUGUUGACAUUCCAUGCCAAAAUGCUAACUCACACUUUUCUGUCACGGGGCUCAUAGUGACUUCCUCUGGUAAACCAGGUAAGAUGGGUUUUGUUGGAAUGGAUAUUUAAAGGUCCCCUGAAAAUAGCACAUUGUUCUUCCUGUCACCUGCUGUUUGGGACUGGAUUUUGAAUGUAGUGGAAUCAUGCAAGUGCCACACUGUGCAUUUAUUUCUUGACUGCAAAGGGUGAGGGGAUAAUAGCUUUGGUCAGUGUGGCAAAACGCCACUUGGGAAGGUUGUCACUUAAUCUGGUGUAGGGUAGUGCCUUUUUAUCUCUCUCUCUUUUUUAGUCAAAUGUUCCCUCCUGAAGCAUCUUUUCGUGGCAGAGGCACAAGGAAAUAUCAGGAUUUAUCAGGGGAAGGUAAAGUACCCCAUUGCAGCAGAGACAAAACAAAAACCCGGUUCACCAGUCUGUAGCAGCAUGAAUCACCUUCUUGCUCUCUCUCCAUCUCUCUAUCUCUCCCUCCCCUACUCUCUCUCUUUCUCUCUCACUGUCUCUCUUUCUUUCUCUUUAUCUCUCUGACCAUCUGUUGUUUGCACACUUUUCUCUCUUUCUGCCUUAUCCCCUUCUGUUUCUUAUGUAAGCUGCCUAAACACAAUAUUGAUAUCGGGCAUUUUUCACCCUGCCAUCCGCCUACUCGCCCACAGCCAAGGUUAAUUAGCAGUCAUUACAGAAGAAAUAUAUUGCCUCUGCGGGCACGGAGAGGGAGAGGGAUGGUGAAAAAUGAGGACGCCAAUGAGUUGUGUGUGGGCAGAGAGAGACAGAAGGGCGAUGCCUGAACCUGUCACCAUGGCAAUGGCAGCUGGGGAGUAAUUGUAACCGGUUCGGACCAGGGUGUGUUUAAUUGAUCUAAGAUUCCUUCAGGUACCCUUCAACGGACUUGAUUAACAGAGUCAUCAAUCGGAAGCAGGUGGCGAAAGGAAUACAUAUUGUCGGAUAGGUGCUCCCUAUUGGUUUGACCUCAUGACCUCAAACUCUCAUGAGUUCUCCAAUUAUGUUUUGACCCGGUUGAAUGAGAGGAUGGUGGAUGAGCUGAUCAGCACUGACAUUGUGUUGGAGGUCAAAACACCAUGAGCAAGGUCUCCAGUCGAAUCUGGAAAAGCAUUUAAUUGAAAAAUAGCUCCUCACUGAUAUUAAAUUCCUUGUGCUUUUGAUACAACAGCCAUAUUUGUCCGGAUAUCUCAUGUUUAUCUUAUCUCUACACCUGAACAAACCAGUUUACCUCUACUCUAAUAUGAGAUCGCACCAUACAGUGGCAUGCCAGGGUCUAUGUAUUAGAAACUGGUAUCAAUUUGUAAAAAGGAGUAAUUCACUAUAUUCCAUACUGAUUAAAUUUGAAGGAUAAUCCGCAGGCUAGUCAGGGUUUUUUCUUUAUGGGCCGUUUCCUCAAAAUGCAGGCAUUCAUAAAAGUCGAGCUAUGGCUUAUGAUUACGAUUUCAGUAUAAUUUGCAACAGAAUCAAUCUCGUAGACGGGCAGUGAACCCAGCCAGCCCAGCUGAAACCACAUAUAUAGCCACAUAUAUAGCCUAUUAGUUAAUAUUAAACUCAAGGCAGCCCGACAUAGACAGGGCCUGUCACACCACAGUGGAUUACCUUCCACACACACGGCUCUGCUCUGAAGUUCUCCGGCUCUUUAUUCCUGAAGACUUUACUCUUCUCUUAUCCAGUCAGCUCUAGCUAUCAAAAGGGUGAUUGAUGACCAUGCCUGCUCAACUGGCUGGUCUGAUAAACUCUGAAUAUCCUGAGCCUGUUUCCCCGUUCCUGCUCCCGAAACCACCAAAUGAAAAUGUCUCCCUUGGGACCAGUGAGCUCAGCAGAAAGUCCACGGGUUCGCUCGUCACUGUAGGGUGACAGAACACAGACAGACUCGGAGCCCUCAAAUGACUUAUAAAGGGAUGCAAUAUAAAAUAGCUCAAAGCCAGACAGAACAGCAGAAACAAUGAUGAUGUAGUCAACCAACAUUCAGUCUAAAUAUUGUACAGUAAUGUGCUCAUUUUAGACAGCAACCUUACUUGAGAUACACAAGUGACUAGAUAGAUACUUUGCAAGUUAUAUGAAUAUGCCAUGUAUAUAUGACCUGUCCUUGUUGGUCCGAACAACGCAGCCUCAGUCGCACAGGCCGAGAGCUGACACAGUGCUCUCGACUCUUGUUUGUUGUUUGUUGUGUUGUUGUUUGUUGUUGUGCCUCUGGACAGUGUUUGAGUGCCCUGAGAGCUAAAGGGUGUUUAGGGUGGGGUCCCACUGCACCUAUAAACAAAGGUGCUUGAGAAGCCAUGGGCAGAAAAGUUGGGGGACAAGGGGGGUACAGCAACAGUACAACCAAAGACAGUUUGGUUGAUGGUUAAAAAGGAGAUGGUUAAAAAGGAGAGAUAAAUAGAAAACAGGGACAAGUAAAGGAUCAGUAGACCAAACUAGGUAGAUAGAUAAAUGGAAUGUAUAUAUUUGUUAUCAGUCGUGGCUUCAGCAGCAUUAGUCUGGUGAAAGUACUAAUCCUGUUUUCAGACUGAUAAGGGUAAAAAGCAGAAAGGGAACAAAACAACAAAUCUUUUUCUUUCUUUUUUUCCCCUUCUCUCCUCAUCCAGUAAAAGCACCCCUCUAGUUUCUCAAAAGUCUUCCCCUAUCAGAGGGCGACCAAUUUCUCAGCCUUAUCUUCUUGGCGAGGCUGGCUUGUGCAAGAGAGAGCUGCUGCUGGGUGUCCAGACCUCCCGAGUCCCAAGUGUCAACCUCACUCGUUCCCACUGUGCUCACACGAUAGGGAGGCUGAAUAGAAGAGCACCAAGGGGUCUGUUUUGAUCUUCUAAGGGCGUCCCCGGGGGAGUCUUGAGGUUGAAGCUGGGAAGGCUGUCAUAAGAUGUCGUGGUGAUGUCAUUUCAUGGCUUUCUAACAUG